UACGGAGGAUCCAAGCGUUAUCCGGAAUCAUUGGGUUUAAAGGGUCCGUAGGCGGUUUUGUAAGUCAGUGGUGAAAGCCCAUCGCUCAACGGUGGAACGGCCAUUGAUACUGCAAGACUUGAAUUAUUGGGAAGUAACUAGAAUAUGUAGUGUAGCGGUGAAAUGCUUAGAGAUUACAUGGAAUACCAAUUGCGAAGGCAGGUUACUACCAAUGGAUUGACUGACUGAUGGACGAAAGCGUGGGUAGCGAACAGG
rnacentral:rRNA from 1 species